GACGAACGCUGGCGGCGCGCCUAACACAUGCAAGUCGAACGAGUGAGAGAGAGCUUGCUUUCUCAAGCGAGUGGCGAACGGGUGAGUAACGCGUGAGGAACCUGCCUCAAAGAGGGGGACAACAGUUGGAAACGACUGCUAAUACCGCAUAAGCCCACAGCUCGGCAUCGAGCAGAGGGAAAAGGAGCAAUCCGCUUUGAGAUGGCCUCGCGUCCGAUUAGCUAGUUGGUGAGGUAAUGGCCCACCAAGGCAACGAUCGGUAGCCGGACUGAGAGGUUGAACGGCCACAUUGGGACUGAGACACGGCCCAGACUCCUACGGGAGGCAGCAGUGGGGAAUAUUGCACAAUGGGGGAAACCCUGAUGCAGCGACGCCGCGUGGAGGAAGAAGGUCUUCGGAUUGUAAACUCCUGUUGUUGAGGAAGAUAAUGACGGUACUCAACAAGGAAGUGACGGCUAACUACGUGCCAGCAGCCGCGGUAAAACGUAGGUCACAAGCGUUGUCCGGAAUUACUGGGUGUAAAGGGAGCGCAGGCGGGAAGACAAGUUGGAAGUGAAAUCUAUGGGCUCAACCCAUAAACUGCUUUCAAAACUGUUUUUCUUGAGUAGUGCAGAGGUAGGCGGAAUUCCCGGUGUAGCGGUGGAAUGCGUAGAUAUCGGGAGGAACACCAGUGGCGAAGGCGGCCUACUGGGCACCAACUGACGCUGAGGCUCGAAAGUGUGGGUAGCAAACAGGAUUAGAUACCCUGGUAGUCCACACCGUAAACGAUGAUUACUAGGUGUUGGAGGAUUGACCCCUUCAGUGCCGCAGUUAACACAAUAAGUAAUCCACCUGGGGAGUACGACCGCAAGGUUGAAACUCAAAGGAAUUGACGGGGGCCCGCACAAGCAGUGGAGUAUGUGGUUUAAUUCGACGCAACGCGAAGAACCUUACCAAGUCUUGACAUCCCUUGACGAACAUAGAAAUAUGUUUUCUCUUCGGAGCAAGGAGACAGGUGGUGCAUGGUUGUCGUCAGCUCGUGUCGUGAGAUGUUGGGUUAAGUCCCGCAACGAGCGCAACCCUUACUGUCAGUUACUACGCAAGAGGACUCUGGCAGGACUGCCGUUGACAAAACGGAGGAAGGUGGGGAUGACGUCAAAUCAUCAUGCCCUUUAUGACUUGGGCUACACACGUACUACAAUGGCGUUAAACAAAGAGAAGCAAGACCGCGAGGUGGAGCAAAACUCAGAAACAACGUCCCAGUUCGGACUGCAGGCUGCAACUCGCCUGCACGAAGUCGGAAUUGCUAGUAAUCGUGGAUCAGCAUGCCACGGUGAAUACGUUCCCGGGCCUU
rnacentral:rRNA from 1 species